UAGAGCAAGGUAACAAAGUACUUGGCUGCAGCAAACAAGGACACAAAAAUGAAGUAAAGGAGCCACUUACCUUUGGAAGACUUCAGGGAGCCCAGGCGCAGAGCUACUAAUGAGCAUGCUGGAGAGAGUGUCCAAACCAGCGCUGGCUAUAGACAAUCCACCUGUCUGCUCUCCGAUGCAGGACUUUGAAUUGGCAGAAGCAAUCAAAGCAAAGCUAUACUAUGUCUCAGAUGGGCCAUUUGAAUUUUGCUGUGAAAGGAGUUAAUCAUUUUCCAUUUAAGCAGUCCUCUUCAUGUUCUGAGAUUAACAAACCAAUGAAGAAAAAGGACCAUUCAUUUUUAAAAAAUUUUUGGCCAAUGAAAAGCAACAGUAUUUAUUCAUUUACACUUGGAUCACAUGUGCAACGUUUUACUUCUGCUUUUAAACAAAAAAGAAUAUCUUAGAAAAAAAUUUGUGAUAACAGAAUAUGGUGCAUGGGCAUCCUACAUAGCACAAAGGUACAGACUAGAUCCCAUUUUUGAGUGACUGGGAAGAUCACAUUUAGGAGACGGGUUUUUCAACACAGAUAUUUUCUUUUGAAUAAGCAUUUAAAAAGACGGUCUGGCAUAUGUAGGAACUGAGACAUCAGGUCUCCAGGCAAACCACAUAUAAGUACACACAGCCUUAAGUUAGAACUUCUAUCACAUCAAAAUAAGCAAAAAAGAAUUAACCACUUUGGGCUACAUUACCAGAAUUCUGAUUUUUAUUUCAAGUACUGCAUUUUUUUUCAUUGCACCUAAUAUGUUUUUUAUUUUAUUACAGUCAUAUGUUACAAUACUUUAACACCAGAGUCCUACAAAAAUGUCCUCCUUUAAACUGAAUUAAACUCAGGCGCAGUGUGCUAGCAGGGUGAACCUGGCUCCAUUGUUCUUUUACCUUUAUAUAUGAAAGGUUUCCUAUAACCACAGCUUA